UGUCUGCAGAUGUAUUUCUGGGAGGGAUUUCCUGGUCAGGACACUUCCGUCUGGUCAUUAGAUGUUUCUGUGUGUUUUUUCUCUUUGUGGCUAAUCUCUGAGGUGCUUCGUAAAGAUUGUUAAUAUAUGAGUUAUGGUAUCAGCACAGCAUACUGGCAGUAGUUACUGAAUUCAUGUUAACAUUUCUCUCCACAAGAGGGCGCCUUUGUGUCCCAUUGCUCCGGAGAAGUCCCAUUCAUUGUUCUGUUGUAUAAUACAACAAUCCAUCCAUCCAUCUAUCCAUUUUCCUUCCAACUGCCUAUCCAGUACAGAGCUGCGGGGGUGCGGGAGCAUGCUCCCGGACACCUAGUGCACGAAGCAAGAGGACACCCUGGAUGUGAUGCCAGUCUGUCACACAUGCAGACACCAACCCACAGAAUUACACACUAUGUGCAGAUGCCAGAUGACUGUGUGUCUUUAGACUGUGGGAGGAAGCCGGAGCACCUGGAGGAAUCCCACAUGCACACGGAGAGAACAUCCUAAUGACUCCAGAACCAAGAGAGGGAGUGGAGAAGACAUAGUGAUAAUACUCAUAUUUUGCUGUAACAUAUUUUUAAUUGGCUCUGCUACUAAAUAUUUUGUGCAUGUCUUCAACUAUUGUUUUAAUUUUGAAAUCAGAGCUAGAUAAGAUUUUAAGAGCUUCUCCCCAAACGAGCUUGAUGGGCCGAAUGGCCUCCUCUCAUUUGUAGAUCUCUUAAGUUCUUAUGUAAAUCUUUCUCAAGUGUCAUAAGUCACGUACAUCUUCCAUGGGUGCAUUGUACCGUAUGUAUGCAUACGGAUCAAGAGCAACAUCACCAUCAUGUAGCGUUUUGGAAUUCAGAGCUGAGAUGUUUUUCCCCAUUCAGGGUUGCGUGACCUUUAACUGAUUCUCUACAGAAAGUCACGUCUACAAGAUGUUUUAUGGUGAAUGAUAAUCCACAAAAUUAAGCUGCCUGUGCUGCUGGUAUUCCUCUAUAGAAUUUAUUAUCAUUUUAUUACCAUAUUUUAACAGAUCCCAUAAUUCUUUGAUGGGUAGAUGUAGAUAUUAGCUUACUGUGGUUCAUUUUUAGCGGCCAUGUGAUUUUCAUCAAGCAACUAAGAACCUUCAUUGUUUACCAAAGGCCUUACCUUCUGCAGGACCUCUUUGUCUCGGGGUCAGGGUUCCCUGUGGAGCCACACCUGUGAGGCAGAGCUCAUCUCCUCCAAGCAGCUGGUCUCAGCAUCCCAGCCACUGGGGGCCCUACAGGAACAUCUCAACAUGUCAGUGGACUGCAAGAAGUUUAGUACUACAUUUGGCUGGUUUUGUUUCCAUCCCUGACAUCACAGUGGGAUCGCCCGCUUGCUGGGGCCAAAGCUGACAGCCCUCCUCUCCCCCUGGAGCCCUGCAUCCCACCUUGGAGGAGAAUCUUCAUUACGUCGUUAAUCACACUGUUCAGAGGAGAAAUGUGAGUCUCGUUGAAGCUAACACCAAGGACGGAAUCAACAGCUCAGUACAACCUGGUACUAACAAGGCUUCCCUAAAAAGUGCAAAUCAAGCAUGUAUAAUUUAAACUGGGUUCCUUUUUGCACUACUUUGCCAUACUAGUAAAAUCUACCCACGUUAUGCUCUUCAUGACCUUGCUGAGUGCUUAGUGUGAGGGACUGUGAAAGCCUUCUAAUCUGGUUAGCUUUAAUUUGCAAGACCCAUGCAGUAAUUAAUCGUGUGUUCCCAUUUGCCUUGGGAUCCGAUUUUCGGAUUCCGAGAUUACGUCACAUCCGCUAAAAACUCGGGAAAACCGAGUCGGAUGCGUUCCAUUUGCCACAGAAGUAGCAAUACCACGGACCCAUAUGAAAGAGCAAAAUUUUUUGCUUAGUUGGACAACUUGUCAGAUUUAAGGUAUCUCAGUUUAAAUGGCCUUUAUCUUCGUUCACUUACAAUUAGUCCGAACUACCUUAAAUCUGACAAAUAAUCCGACUAAUCAUGAAAUCCAAAUCUAGCCCGGUUAAUUGUUAGCAAUAUCAGGUAAUAACACAUAACGCAUGAAGCUUUAUGGAUAAAACUCCGUAGCAACACGUCCACGGAUAAGUGUGUGCAACCGAUUUAAUGAGCCACAAAUGAGAAGUCGUGCUUAAACAGUAUAAAACUAGAUCUUUCCCUUCUGUUGAUAAAGGGCGCCGCCAUCUUGUAUUUUGAACUUGGGAUCCUCUGUGCUGCUCCGAAAUAUUUCUCGGAUCUCCGAGAAAUGGAAGUGUGCAUGUCACUUCUGGCUUCAAAACUUUGAGUUCUGAGGGCAAAUGGAACGCACCAUAACUAUGGUCAUUGUUGAACUGACAGACUUUAUCAAGGCCCAUUUCGGGUCUGCAAUGUUGAAAAUGUAGAAUACUGGUGGGAAACUUUAGCACAAGCUGAACAGGUCCUAAAAUGGUUUACAUUUAGCUUGUGCUAGUCACUAGGAGCUCUGAUCCUAACAGGAUUACCAUUUAGAUUGAGCUAGGUCCGGGGGAUCCAGGUCUGAACUGCUCAAGAUAGGAUUAGCAUUUAGCCCAUGCUAGUAAUUGUGAGCCCCAGGUCUGACCUGGUCCCAAUGGGAUUAGCACUUAGCUUGUGGUAGUACCAGGAGCACCAGGUCUGACCUGGUUCUAACAGGAUUAGUAUUUAGCUUAUACUAGUUCCUGGGGCGCCAGGUCUGACUUGGUCCUAACGGGAUUAGCGUUCAUUUUAUGCUAGUACCAGAGGUACCAGGUCUGACCUGAUUCUAACGUGAUUAGCAUUUAGCUUAUGCUAGUUCCUGGGGCACCAGGUCUGGCCGGCGGCCUGUACUACGAAGCUGGGUUACUGGCUUAUCGGGGUAACUUGUCAGAUUUAAGGUACCACAGUUUAAAUGGACUUCAUAUUCGUUCACUUACAUUUUGCCCAGACUACCUUAAAUCCGACAACUUACCCCGAUAUGCCAGUAACCCCUCUUCGUGGUACAACCCCCUGGUCCUAACAGGAUUAGCAUUUAUCUUAUGCUAGUACCAGGUGUUUCUGGGACCUUGUGUUUUUGGAGAUGGAUUAGCUGCUUACCCCAGAAUCUCAAUCUGAUCCUUCGCUUUCAUCUGUCCCUGCAUUCACUAGCUACCUUCCAAAUAGGUAUUCUUCCAAACUGGAUAGGAUCCCAAGUGGGACCAGUUUGAUUUGAGUAACCUUAGGCUUUCACAAUCCUGCAUGCAGUGGUGGUAUAUGAAGUAUGUAAUAGGAAUAAAUAAAUAUACCGUGUAUUUUA